UACGGAGGGUGCGAGCGUUGUCCGGAAUCAUUGGGCGUAAAGCGCGUGUAGGCUGCUUCGAAAGUCGGAUGUGAAAGCCCUGGGCUCAACCUAGGAAGUGCAUUCGAAACUUCGAAGCUUGAGUUCUGGAGAGGAAGGCGGAAUUCUCGGUGUAGAGGUGAAAUUCGUAGAUAUCGAGAGGAACACCGGUGGCGAAGGCGGCCUUCUGGACAGUGACUGACGCUGAGACGCGAAAGCGUGGGGAGCAAACAGG
rnacentral:rRNA from 1 species